UGAAGCAGAAUUAACAUCAGGAUAUGAG
rnacentral:misc_RNA from 1 species